GACGAACGCUGGCGGCGUGCUUAACACAUGCAAGUCGAACGGAAAAGCCCUGCUUUUGUGGGGUGCUCGCGUGGCGAACGGGUGAGUAACACGUGAGUAACCUGCCCUUGACUUUGGGAUAACUUCAGGAAACUGGGGCUAAUACCGGAUAGGAGCUCCUGCUGCAUGGUGGGGGUUGGAAAGUUUCGGCGGUUGGGGAUGGACUCGCGGCUUAUCAGCUUGUUGGUGGGGUAGUGGCUUACCAAGGCUUUGACGGGUAGCCGGCCUGAGAGGGUGACCGGCCACAUUGGGACUGAGAGACGGCCCAGACUCCUACGGGAGGCAGCAGUGGGGAAUAUUGCACAAUGGGCGGAAGCCUGAUGCAGCAACGCCGCGUGCGGGAUGACGGCCUUCGGGUUGUAAACCGCUUUCGCCUGUGACGAAGCGUGAGUGACGGUAAUGGGUAAAGAAGCACCGGCUAACUACGUG
rnacentral:rRNA from 1 species